rnacentral:tRNA from 1 species
AGGGAAGUAGCGUAAUCGGCAACGCAACAGGCUUUGAACCUGUCAGAUCCGAGUUCGAGUCUCGGCUUCCCUUCCA